GCUUGUCUCAAAGAUUAAGCCAUGCAUGUUCAAGUAUAGCAAGUGUACAGUGAAACUGCGAAUGGCUCAUUAAAUCAGUUAUAAUUUAUUUGAUAGUGAAAUUGUACAUGGAUAACCGUGGCAAUUCUAGGGCUAAUACAUGCGUCAAUGGUCGGUCGACCAGUAUUUAUUAGAUACAGAACCAACCCAGGUUCGCCUGGACUCUGGCGAGUCAUGAUAACCGAGCGAAUGGCAUGGCAUCAGCUGGCGAUGUACCAUUCAAGUUUCUGACCUAUCAGCUUCCGACGGUAGGGUAUUGGCCUACCGUGGCAAUGACGGGUAGCGGAGAAUUAGGGUUCGAUUCCGGAGAGGGAGCCUGAGAAACGGCUACCACAUCUAAGGAAGGCAGCAGG
rnacentral:rRNA from 1 species